rnacentral:lncRNA from 1 species
GAUAUCAUGGAUUCUCAGAUCUAUGGCGGCUCUCUGAUGAUCCUUUUUUCCAUUUUACUGAUCUUCGCUGUCGGCGUUCGCUCUGUAUUGCUGGAGAACUCGGACCCCCGUCUCACAUUGCCAUCAUCCGGCUCCGACCAAAGCAACUCCAACUCCAUCCUCAUCACCCUCCUUGAUUCCCACUACAUUGAGCUCGUUGAGAAGGCCCUCCUCUUCUAGACCC